UUCUUAUACUUAAAAAAACUUUUCUUUGGAGCUUCAAGAAACCUCCUUUUCUUUAUUCAUUUGUAUUAGGACCUUCUAUAACAUGAUUAGGGAGAGCUUUUCUUUUUGAGUUUUAAGUCAAGGGCUUCUGAUGUUUAUGGAUUGACAACUCGUCCACUCUUUUGUUGGCAGAUUAGGUGGAAGAACCGGUCAAAGGCAAUUGUAACUGUUCUGAAGAACUUUGGUGCUGACUUCCUAUGCUUAUAGGUUUCAUUUACAUAUAUAUGUUGGUGGGAUUGAGGGUUCUGUUUUGUCUUUGCUUCCGACAUAAUCAGUGAAUUUUAAAAUUUUCUUUACCAAAAAUUGUGUUCCUUCAUAUU